AUACGUAGGGGGCGAGCGUUGUCCGGAAUGAUUGGGCGUAAAGGGCGCGUAGGCGGCCUGUUAAGUCUGGAGUGAAAGUCCUGUUUUCAAGAUGGGAAUUGCUUUGGAUACUGAUGGGCUUGAGUGCAGGAGAGGUUAUCGGAAUUCCCGGUGUAGCGGUGAAAUGCGUAGAGAUCGGGAGGAACACCAGUGGCGAAGGCGGGUAACUGGACUGCAACUGACGCUGAGGCGCGAAAGUGUGGGGAGCAAACAGGAUUAGAUACCCUGGUAGUCCACACUGUAAACGAUGAAUGCUAGGUGUAAGAGGUAUCGACCCCUUUUGUGCCGGAGUCAACACAAUAAGCAUUCCGCCUGGGGAGUACGGCCGCAAGGUUGAAACUCAAAUGAAUUGACGGGG
rnacentral:rRNA from 1 species